rnacentral:rRNA from 1 species
GACGAACGCUGGCGGCGUGCUUAACACAUGCAAGUCGAACGGAAAGGCCCUGCUUUUGUGGGGUGCUCGAGUGGCGAACGGGUGAGUAACACGUGAGUAACCUGCCCUUGACUUUGGGAUAACUUCAGGAAACUGGGGCUAAUACCGGAUAGGAGCUCCUGCUGCAUGGUGGGGGUUGGAAAGUUUCGGCGGUUGGGGAUGGACUCGCGGCUUAUCAGCUUGUUGGUGGGGUAGUGGCCUACCAAGGCUUUGACGGGUAGCCGGCCUGAGAGGGUGACCGGCCACAUUGGGACUGAGAUACGGCCCAGACUCCUACGGGAGGCAGCAGUGGGGAAUAUUGCACAAUGGGCGGAAGCCUGAUGCAGCAACGCCGCGUGCGGGAUGACGGCCUUCGGGUUGUAAACCGCUUUCGCCUGCGACGAAGCGUGAGUGACGGUAAUGGGUAAAGAAGCACCGGCUAACUACGUG